rnacentral:rRNA from 1 species
GUUGGUGACAGCGGAGGGAUCAUUACAGAGUUGAAAAACUCCCUAAACCAUCGCGAACGUUACCCUUAACCGUUGCUUCGGCGGGCGGUCCACAAGACCCCCUUGGCCCCCCUUUCGCGGGGGGGGCGCCCGCCGGAGGUCACGUUUUAAACUCUUGAUACCUGUACGGCCUCUCUGAGUAUUCUGUACUGAAUUAAGUCAAAACUUUCAACAACGGAUCUCUUGGUUCUGGCAUCGAUGAAGAACGCAGCGAAAUGCGAUAAGUAAUGUGAAUUGCAGAAUUCAGUGAAUCAUCGAAUCUUUGAACGCACAUUGCGCCCGCCAGUAUUCUAGUGGGCAUGCCUGUUCGAGCGUCAUUUCAACCCCUAAGCACAGCUUAUUGUUGGGCGUCUACGUCUGUAGUGCCUCAAAGACAUUGGCGGAGCGGCAGCAGUCCUCUGAGCGUAGUAAUUCUUUAUCUCGCUUCUGUUAGGCGCUGCCCCCCCGGCCGUAAAACCCCCAAUUUUUUCUGGUUGACCUCGGAUCAGGUAGGAAUACCCGCUGAACUUAAGCAUAUCAAUAAGCGGAGG